UGAAUUUGAAUUUUCUGGUAUGUUUUAUAGACAGAUAUCGGGGACUGCCAUGGGAACUCUGUUUGCUGUGACAUAUGCUAACAUUUAUAUGUCAUACUGGAUGAAAACCUACUAUGAACCAUUACCUAAUAAACCAGAUAUUUCAUGCAGAUUCAUCGAUGAUAUUUUGGCUUUACCUUCUCUCCCACUAGAAGAAUGUAAUAAUUUUGUUUCAAAAUUAAACCAACAUCCAAAGAUCAAAUUUACUGUAGAUAUAAAUAUUAACUCAGUUAAUUUCCUAGAUGUAAAAGUUGUCAAAGAAAAAGAAACGUUAGAGACAAAUCUAUAUUCCAAGAGAACAGAUUGCCAUCAUUAUCUUCCUCCAUCAAGUUGUCAUCCCAAACACACCUUUAACGCUAUCCCUUACAGUGGUGCUCCACGUACAAAACGGAUUUGUACUAAGGAUAGCUGGACCAAAUCAAACCUAAAAAAUUUUGGAUCCUAUCUUAAACAAUCCGGAUAUCCCAAGAAAAUUAUUCUAAAGGCAUUUAAACGUGAAGAUCAGAAGACCAGGACUGAAUUAUUGACCUACCAAUCCAAGACCGAUACUAAUGUGAACAUUAUUCCAUGGACAACUAACUUUGACCCUAGACAACCUCACCUUCACCAAAUGAUUAAAGACCGAAGUAUUUAAGACACAAGUUCACAUAUGACGAAAAUUAUGAAUAGCAGCAAAAUAAUAAUAGCAGAGAGGAAGAACCACACUAUUGGCUACACCUUGAAAGAAAAUUAGUUGAGAACUUCUGACACUAGUAAUAAGCAUAUUAAGGACAAAAUUUCAUAGGGAUGUCAACCUUGUUUACGAAAGUUAUGCAAAUCAUGCGAGACUGUGUAAUAAUCAAGAAGUAACCAGUAAAGACAUGAAAUCAUUCAAGAUUAGAGACUGUCAACUGUGCUAGUUCUUUUCUUAUGUUGUAUAUUGUUUAACAUGUAAAACCUGUAUGGGAUAUGUAGGCCAAACCAUUACUCCUUUCAGCACUUGACUUAAUAAGCACAGAAGUAAUAUAAAGCUUAAAAACCAGGCCAUUCCCCCCAUGUAGCCUCCCAUUUUAAUAUACCGGGUCAUGAUUUCGUGUGUACCAUAGUAGAAAAAAUAGAACACAGCAGAAAGUCUGUGGAUUCAUAGACUUGAUUCAGUUUGGCCUAACAGUUUAAAUGAGUUAAAUCCAGGGGGUUUCAAAAUCAUUCAUAUUCAUGCAUAAGUUUUCCUUACUUGUAAAAUUUUACCUAAGUUUUAGCAUGGACCGUAUAUAGAUGGACAGGCAACAAAGUCCUUUUGGUCCGAUUCUCUGCCGCUCGCGCGAGACACGAGAUCUCAAAUGUCAACGGUAAACAAAUGGACGUCAUUUUUGACAUUACAGGAUUUUACACAGAUUAAUUUUUUCUAACUCCUCCUUAGAAUUUACGGUAUUCUUUUGGUUUCACGGUAAUUUUUUGCAACGAUAAGUAUUUCUGUCCGGUAGGGACAAAUUUUCCAAUUUAGAACUUUGAUAUUUUCAAAUGCAGCAGUUGAAGAUUGUGAAAUGGUAGUUUUCAAUAUUCUCAGAGAUUUUCGUAAGUAUUUUGAUUUUGCUUAAUAAUCAAAAUUCCCGUAUGUAUGAAACAUUUGAAAAUAUGAAAAUGAAGUUCAGAUAUAUUAUUGUCCGGUAUGGUGAUUAAUUGUGCAGAAGUAAAAAUUAAAAGUGUGUUAUUUUAGCUUUGUUUUUAGCGAAAACUUGGCGUAUUUCUCUCGGAUCCAUAUGGGCGUGUCUGAAGUCCGAAGUAAACAAAGACGUUGUUUUGAUACAGUUUUGUGCUGCAGACAAUCAUCAGUGGUCAAUCCAUAAAAAGUAGCAUGAUCAAUAAAAUAUUAUGAAUUAAUUUCUGUUUCUACGCCCUUGAGCUUGGUUGUCUACAGGUAUUUGCACGGGGCUUUGUCUUAGGCUUAGGCCUAGUGACGUACAAAUCUAAACAAACAAAAUUUAAAAUACAGUAUACAGAGAGUAACCUUAACUAAUAAAAUGAGAGUUCAAAUCUAAAUUUAAAUUUAUUUUUUGAAAGGUUCUCAAGUUCAAGAACAGAUGAUGUUUAGCCUAUUUAUUAUUGACCUGUGACUGUGUAGGCCUACACAUCUAUGUGAACUAUGUUGAUUUUAAGCAGAAACUAGUAGAACUAGAACUAAGGAUGCCUCGGAUCAAAAGAACAAGUUCAAUAUCAAGAUCAUACCUACCAUAAAUCGUGCUUAGAACCAUCAGAUUUAAUUUAAUGAUUAAAAGUACUCUGAUCAACAUGGUUCUGUAUAUUUUUGCAAGGAUAAUUAGAACUGGGGCAGUGCUAUGAAAUUAUUUUGUAACGAAGAAACUACAUGUACAGUGAAUAUAAAAGAAGAAUUAACAGAUUCAGAUGGUUUCAGUGCAGAUGAGUUUUAUGUUAUUUUGGACAAGCCAUAUAAGUACAGUCCAGAUGUAGAUUUGGAUGCCUUUGUUGUAGAUUUGCGAUUACAGUCAUUUUGUAAUUUAUCAUCAUUGUUUAAACAUGCAUUAUGCAAGAGCAAAAUCUGCUUAUUACAAGUCUUUCUUUAGGCCUGAAAUGUUAUCUAAAUUAUCAAUUAGACAUUAAUUAACUUAUCCAGACCAUAAUAAUCUCUCGAUGUCAAGGCUUGCCUUCGAUGUUGGCUGGAUUAGAUUCCUAUAUGCCGCUAACGGCCAUUGAUAAUUAAAUAAAAAAAAGUGGAUAAUCGAGACUAUGAUGUUUAUAUUAAUGAUUUUAAGUAAUGAUGACCGAGACUAUGCAGAAAUUUCACCGCUUCUUUCUCGGCUCAUAGUGGAUCAAUUUGACUGAAAUUUUCAGCAAAUUACUUUACCACUAUCUAGUUUUUAACUAUUAUAGCUAGAACUGCCAUCUCUUUAUCUUAUCUCCAAUAAUGUAUCUUUAAUGAUACUCAGGGUCUUGGUCAGUUUUCGAGUAUUAAUACUAUAAGUAAUCAGUCAGUAUUGAAAUUUUUGUCUUUUUAUGAGUGUGAUACCACUUCCGUGAAAACAUGUGUUGUUAUUGACAGAACCUUGAAAGCAUCCAUACAGGUUCAUCGUAAGAACAUUUCGUCACAUCAUGAAUUUUGGUCAGGGUUGCCAGAUGUUUACGAUUCAAAAUAUAAAAUACUUCAACUUUUAUAUAAACUGGAACAAUGGGAUGUAUGUAUGGGAAAUUUUGAAGAGGAGUUGAUUAAUUCUUCCCCAACUACUUUGACCUCAUCUUUCAAAGAAUGUGAUAUGGGUGCUAUUGUUGGUGAUAUUCGAUAUACUGCUUCUAUUCGUUCUGUAAGCCGUCUUCAUUAGCCCAGUAUAGGAGCAGAACAGUAGGACGUUAAACCCCAUUUCAUUUCAUUUCAUUUCGUUCUGUAAGGCAUCAAUUAAGUAAAUUUGCACAUGAUAACCCCCCUGUUGUAAUUGGUAAUUUUGAUAUAUUUUCAUCUUAUUCUGCUCGUAAAUAGUAUUUGUAAAUUGUAACUGUAGAGGCCACUAAGUCAUUUGUUAAUUCUCUGGUCACUUCUCGAUUAGAUAACUUUAAUUCACUUUUAGUUGGUUUACCUUUAAAGCUUAUUUUUUUAAUAGAUAAAUUACAAAAAGUACAGAAUACUGCAGCUAGACUUGUUACUUAUAACUAAGAAAUGUGACGACAUAACUCCCUGUUUUAUAUAAUUUACACUGGUUAUCCGUUAAACAUCAAAUUGAUUUUAAGAUUUUAUUACUAACUUUUAAAUGUUUAAAUAAUUUGGCUCCUGUUUACCUCUCAGAUCUUUAAGAACUUUAUACACGUGUCCGAACAUUACGUACAUCAGAUAAACUAAUAUUAAAGCCGGGCGGGAAUUGCUCGGGUCGGCCGAGGCGUGGUUUGGCGUCCGAACAGCGCUCUCGAGGUUUUCCCGUCGGACAUUCGCACGCCGCUGGCGGGGAGACGCGCUUACGAAUCCUGACCAAAGUUGUUGCAGCGAGGGUCCCUGGCCAGAAGGGAUGCGAAGAGACGAAUUUGGAAGGGCGGGAAGCCCAUGGGAGCCGAAAAAUCCAGUCGAAACCUACUUUUGCACAACGGUAUACCUUUCAAACGAGUGCGAAACACUAGUAUAGGAGGUAGGUGAGAGAGACGAGACCUGGUGCGGUGCAUGUGUAUAUCUUUCCAACAAGUGCGUUUUUCUCUUACAUGGAGGGUGAAGCUCAGCCGGUCCUCGACAGGGCAGUAGGGAACUUUGGCGGAGAAUUGGUCGGGGCGAGUUUCUUGAGACGAGUGAUUCACGGUGGAAGGUUGGCCGGUCUCCUCUUGCUCUUGGGUUGAGUGAAGGCUAGGGAUUGUGUGUUCGUGCAGCUCCCGAUUACCCUUCUCGUCACCGUCGUCGCGCCGCUUGCUCGAGGGGAAGGAUGGCACCCGAGACCGCGUUCCCCCGUUCGGCUCUCUAAAGCUAAUACAUGCAACGCACCGU